CGCACAUUGCGCCCUUUGGUAUUCCGAGGGGCACGCCUGUUCGAGCGUCAUUUAAACCAUCAAGCAUAGCUUGGUUUUGAGCGAGGUCGAGCGACCCGCCCGUAACCCGUUGGCGGCACUGUCCGGCUUCAAGCGUAGCAGAAUUUUCGCUUCAGGAGCUUGUGGCAGCGCCUGCCAGGUGAAUUACCACCUAAAGUUUGACCUCGGAUCAGGUGGGGAUACCCGCUGAACUUAA
rnacentral:misc_RNA from 1 species